CACGCAGGCGGUUUGCUCAGUCCUUUGUGAAAGCCCGGGGCUCAACCCCGGAAUUGCAUGGGAUACUGGCAGACUUGAGACAGGUAGAGGCUAGCGGAAUUCCUGGUGUAGCGGUGGAAUGCGUAGAUAUCAGGAAGAACACCUGUGGCGAAGGCGGCUAGCUGGGCCUGUUCUGACGCUCAUGUGCGAAAGCGUGGGGAGCAAACAGGAUUAGAUACCCUGGUAGUCC
rnacentral:rRNA from 1 species